UACGUAGGGGGCUAGCGUUGUCCGGAAUCAUUGGGCGUAAAGAGCGUGUAGGCGGCUCGGUAAGUCCGCUGUAAAAGUCAAAGGCUCAACCUUUGAAUGUCAGUGGAUACUGCCGGGCUAGAGUCCGGAAGAGGCGAGUGGAACUCUUGGUGUAGCGGUGGAAUGCGCAGAUAUCAGGAGGAACACCGGUGGCGAAGGCGGGAUCCUGGGCCAGUACUGACGCUGAGGAGCGAAAGCGUGGGGAGCAAACAGG
rnacentral:rRNA from 1 species